UCUGGCUUGUGCAUCGUGUAUUUCCAACGCUGUGGGUGGUGGUAGCAUGUAACCACCAGCAGCCAUUGUCUUUCUUAGUAUUCGGUGUCUACGGCUUAUAGCUGUAGUCUACACUGUUUCUUGGACCUCCUUGUAUCCCACCGCUGCCACUAUGUAACGUUAGUAUGCUAUAUCAUGAAGAGGAAGAGGGAUUGGUAACGGAAGCAGUUCACGUGAUCAUUUUACAUUGAAUCUGCAGUAAAACCUCGAAAACUAUCCGCGUUACGCCCUUUAAACUAGGCUAUUUUGCCGGGUAACUCGCUCAAAAUAAGAAAGUUGUGUUUUCUCGAGACAUAACACGCCCAGUCUGUGAGACCACACCCAGUAAAAAGGGACAUUCCAGUAAAGUUUUAGGCGAACAGCCGCUAUAAGAAAAGGUUGCACAGCACUAUAGUGCAGUCAACUCAACUUAGGCUAACAUAUUCACUUAUCCGGCCUGCUUCUGGAACCAAGGUGUCCGGAUAAUCGAGGUUCUACUGUAGCUUAUUUCUUUGAGUUAAGAUCUGAAAUUUGUUGUGCAUGUACCUGCAUGACUAUGCUCGAAAUACUGCAUUUUGUCGUUUUUUUAUGGCUAGGAAUACAACUUUCGAUUUUAUGCUAGUUAAGGUCUGAUUUUUGAGGAGCAUGUACUACGUGCAAUAGUAUACUUUUCAUCUUACAGAAGCUAGACAAAGUCUCUUCUUUGCUAGAGCAUGUUUGAAAAGUACACUCUCAGUCAUUCUAUUGUGGACUUCUCGAGACCAGGCCGAUUAUCGAGGCUACGGUUGCAUGCUCAGCUGCUAUUUACAUCUCUCUCUCCAUGAGAAUCCGCAGCUCUGUGUGCAGAUUAUAGACGAUUCCUAAAGAGAUUAAGGCUGAACAGCAAAGUGAUGACAAAGUUCUCCCAAAAUCAGCUCCAAACUGCCCACUCUUAAUGCCGAGAGUGAGCUUAUGGUUGAGUGAGUCUGAUGCAGUACCAGCGUAAUAAUUUAUAGUUGAAAGUUGCAUAAUUAUAAUUAUAUAGAUCUAUGCAUCACAGGACGGAUGAAGCGAGGGACAAGGCUCCAAGUCCAAACUGUCCACUCUUAAUGAGAGAUGGACGAAGCGAGGGACAAGGCUCCUCUUCUCAUCUUAAUGGUAGUGAGCUUAUUGUGCCGGAUGGACAAAGCGAGGGACAAAGCUCUCCCAAACCAAAUGACUGUGCACUGUUUGCAGCUGCAUAUUGUAUAUACCAGCAUUGCACAUGGACUAGAUCCAUGUUCCGACCAGCAGAAAAUGAGGGACCACUUGUACAAGUGUUUCACUACAAAAACAAUGGAUCUCUUUACUGUCUUCCAAACAAAAAGACCAGGACCUGCACGCACUUUGAAAAUCCCUGUCUAUUGCUACUGUCGAUGUGCAGAUGACGGCCAAGGAAUGGUAGGCUGUGACAGAUGUGAAGAUUGGUAGAUGCAUCAACACCGCCAAAGUAAAAAAGAAAGGAUUAUGAUAUUGCACCAAGUGUCGAUAAAGUAGUUAGAAUCAAUGACUUUAUAGUCAACAAGUAUAGUCUUUAUAAUUAUUUUAUAUUGAUCAUAAUAAGUGCUCAUACUAGAUGUCUAUAGUCUAGCCUGCCUAUGGCUAUGGAUCUAGUACAUGUUCUAGCUUUGUGGAUCAGGGCAAGUCAGGCGCCGCCGCCUUCUACCGUUGCCCGGAAGGAGGGCGGCGGCAAUCGACUAGAUCAGGGCGUGGCCCACAACCUUCUGAAAGGCCACGCCCAGGACUAGCCAAAAGUCUUGUAGGAAUCUUUCUGGAAUCUUGGAAUCUUGGAAUCUUGAAUGGAAUCUUGAAAUCUUCUAGAAAUCUUGAAUGGAAUCUCAGGAAUCUUGGAA